ACGAAAAAUAACGAUACGGGACUCAUCCGAGGCCCCGUAAUCGGAAUGAGUACACUCUAAACUCUUUAACGAGGAUCAAUUGGAGGGCAAGUCUGGUGCCAGCAGCCGCGGUAAUUCCAGCUCCAAUAGCGUAUAUUAAAGUUGUUGCGGUUAAAAAGCUCGUAGUCGAAUUUGUGUCCCGCGCCGCCGGUUCAUCGCUCGCGGUGUCAACUGGCGUGUCCGCGGGACGUCCUGCCGGUGGGCUUAGCUCCCUGUGGGCGGCCCAAUCUCAAUCCCACCGCGGUGCUCUUCACUGAGUGUCGAGGUGGGCCGGCACGUUUACUUUGAACAAAUUAGAGUGCUUAAAGCAGGCUAAAACAUCGCCUGAAUACUGUGUGCAUGGAAUAAUGGAAUAGGACCUCGGUUCUAUUUUGUUGGUUUUCGGAACCCCGAGGUAAUGAUUAAUAGGAACGGAUGGGGGCAUUCGUAUUGCGACGUUAGAGGUGAAAUUCUUGGAUCGUCGCAAGACGGACAGAAGCGAAAGCAUUUGCCAAAAACGCUUUCAUUGAUCAAGAACGAAAGUUAGAGGUUCGAAGGCGAUCAGAUACCGCCCUAGUUCUAACCAUAAACGAUGCCAGCUAGCGAUCCGCCGACGUUCCUCCGAUGACUCGGCGGGCAGCUUCCGGGAAACCAAAGCUUUUGGGAUCCGGGGGAAGUAUGGUUGCAAAGCUGAAACUUAAAGGAAUUGACGGAAGGGCACCACCAGGAGUGGAGCCUGCGGCUUAAUUUGACUCAACACGGGAAACCUCACCAGGCCCGGACACCGGAAGGAUUGACAGAUUGAGAGC
rnacentral:rRNA from 1 species